AACGAACGCUGGCGGCAGGCUUAACACAUGCAAGUCGAACGCCCCGCAAGGGGAGUGGCAGACGGGUGAGUAACGCGUGGGAAUCUACCCAUCCCUACGGAACAACUCCGGGAAACUGGAGCUAAUACCGUAUACGCCCGAAGGGGGAAAGAUUUAUCGGGGAUGGAUGAGCCCGCGUUGGAUUAGCUAGUUGGUGGGGUAAAGGCCUACCAAGGCGACGAUACAUAGCUGGUCUGAGAGGAUGAUCAGCCACAUUGGGACUGAGACACGGCCCAAACUCCUACGGGAGGCAGCAGUGGGGAAUAUUGGACAAUGGGCGCAAGCCUGAUCCAGCCAUGCCGCGUGAGUGAUGAAGGCCUUAGGGUUGUAAAGCUCUUUCACCGAUGAAGAUAAUGACGGUAGUCGGAGAAGAAGCCCCGGCUAACUUCGUGCCAGCCGCCGCGGUAA
rnacentral:rRNA from 1 species